AUGGGACUCGCUGCCGGUAAACUGUAAAAUUAUCACUGAGAGAUUACCGCUUUUUCUGCAGUCAGUGAUUGACUUCUAUGCAGUCAUUUCUCAACUUGUGUUCCGUGCCACGUCAUGCCUGUUGAGUGUUGAUUUACUACAUAUUAAGAAACUACUGCACUAAAACAUUAAUUCAUAAAUGUAUACCAUAUGAUUUUAUUUUCUCAGGUUAUGGCGGAGGGGUGUUGCAAAUCAUGAGGACCUGCCAAGUGGUAUGAUAGCAUUGUUUUAUACAUGUCCUCGGCUAGGCCUCAGCUUCAAAAUCAGUCCUU